AUUCAAUGCUUUCUUCCCUUGGGGAGGAUGAAUCUUGGUCCAGCACGGCCGUCACAUCUGACAGCAGUGAGAGGGCAUUGUCUCCCUGCAUUCCCUCUGUAGACAUCACAAAAAUGACCCAUUCGUGAGGGCACAUGGAACAUGGAAGUUUUUGGGAAUGAGUCCAUAUUCAGAGUCAGAAAAAUUCCAGGAAAUCCAGACCCAUGAUUUUAUUAGAUUCCUGUUUAGAAGGAGAAUUAUCUCUGUACGUAGAAUCUGAGCCCAUGAGCGAUGCCCGAGACGGGAAGUACAGCUCUUCGGUUUCUGACUCAAACAAGAACAACUGGCUUUUCUCUCUUAUGAUGUAUCUAAUUCUAGAGGUAAAGCCUAAAUGCUGAAUUUUAUUUCUGUGAUUUUUCCUUCAGGCCCAGUCCCUCCAUGGGGUAGCGUCUUAUGUCAUGGAUCUCAUUUCACCUAACCAGCUGUCCAAAGUCGCCUGUCUCUUGUCCCUUUCAGAACCUCACUGACGGACCAAAGAAAUUGAUAGGACGUGAUAAUUCUUGUCUUAGAGGACAAGAUUUGAUUUUUAAACACAGGCCUCCUGAAAGCAUAAUGCUUUAGCUCAAGAAUUACGUCUCUUCUGCCAGUGGAGAUUUCUGGCAUUAGAUCACAUUGGGAGGGAGGAGGUUAAAUAUGCAAUUCUUGCAUUGGAAACUCCUAUGGCUAAGGAAAACCAUAAGGACCACAGGACAGCUGAGCAUACACAGAGCCCAAACAUGGAGGAACGGGAGACAUGAUUGACCCUGUGGGAGCCCUGCUCUGCUGUGGGCAUCACCUGGCACUGGACCAGGGCUCUCCAACAGGCUGGCAUGCCAUGGGGGACGUGAAAGCUGUAGCGGUUCAUCUGUGAUUCUGUGCCAAGCUGGAGUGAAGAAAACGUCCUUAACACAUUCCUGCGGAGUGAUCCAGAUUCUGGAAUAAUGGUCCAUUUGUCGGGCCCCGAAAAACUGUUGGACCGGCAUUGCUCUUCUGUGUCAAGGAAGGGUCUGUCUUAGCUUCCUUUCACCUGUUAA